rnacentral:misc_RNA from 1 species
CAGCAACUAACACAUCUAAAUAUAAUGACAACGUACAAAAAUAAUGAGAACUUCAUAUCAGUUUUAUUUUGCCACACACCCGCGUCAAGCUCACCGAAAAUGACGACUAUCUUUUCCCGAAUAGUUAAGUUUUCUAUUGCUUACCCAGUUACCCGAGGAAUGGCUUCAUACGCAGUUAUAUGGCCAACCGGAUGUUUAAUACAACAAGUAGCAUUUGGAGAUGAUGAAUUUGACCUUGCCAGAGCCGCUCGAUUUGGACUUUUUGGAGCAUUUUAUGUGGCUCCAACUUUAAAUGCUUGGCUAACUGUUGCACGUUACUUGUAUCCAAAGAAUGAUCUUCGAAGUGCAAUUAUAAAAGCACUUAUAGAACAAGUAACUUAUUCACCUUGUGCUAUGGUGAGCUUUCAUUUCGGAAUGUCUUUACUGGAGGGUAAGACGGUCAGUGAAGCGAAAAAAGAAGUAGAAAAAAAGUUCUUGCCUACAUACAAGGUGGAUAUAAAAUGUUGAAAUAAUAAUGGUUGGGGUAAGUUUGAAGAGCAAAAUUAUGUUUUCCCUACAAUAGUAGGCAGGGUAUUUAAUGUGUGGGUAUAAUUGUUUGGCCUAUAUUACAAGUGUUCAAUUAUACAAUGAUUUCAGAAAAAAAUAGAAUUCCAUUUG